ACUUAUCUUUUUACCAUCUCUGUAGUACUGCUGUUUUUGAAUGUUGGAAUCGUAGUAUGUGGCCUUUUCAGUCUGGGUUCUUUCACUUAGCAAUAUGCAUUUAAAAUUCCUCCAUGUCUUUUCAUGGCUCCAUAGCUCACUUAUUUUUAUUGUUGUGUGAAAUUCAUUGUAUGGAUGUACCACAGUCUGCUUCUCUAGUCACUUUUUGAAGGAUAUCUUAGUUGCUUCGUCUUUUUGGCAAAUAUGAAUAAAGCUGCUAUUAACAUUCAUGUGAAGAUUUUUGUUCAGACAUAUGCUUUCAAGUCAUUUGGGUAGACAUGUAGAAGCAUGAUUACUGUAUGGUAUAGCAUGACUAUGUUUAGCUUUGGAAAAAAACUGCCAAACUGUCUUCCAAGGUGGCUGUAACAUCUUGUAUUUACACCAACAAUGAAGUUCUCAUUGCUACACAGUCCCGCCAAAGUUUGAUAUUGUCCAUUUUCAAUUUUAGUGAUUUUGAUACAUACGUUAUGGUAUUUCACUGUUGCUUCUUCCAUUGAGAUAUAUAUAUAUAUUUUCUGUUCCAUUGAUUAUAUAUAGAGACAUAUAUAUAUAUAUAUGUAAAACCUCAUCCUUUUGGUUACCUCUUGGCUGUCACUUUGUGAUCUGUAAAAGCUGCUUCGGGUUCAAGCCAUCUCCUGCCUCAGCCUCCCAAGUAGCUGGGAUUACAGGUGCGUGCCACUACACCCAGCUAAUUUUUGUAUUUUUUCUAAAAUUUAGACAUAAUUUAAAUAAUGAUUUUACAGCCCUUCUGCAUUUGAAAAGAGGAUCAAUUAAGUCCCAGAGAGUCUUUGUUGAGGUCAACACUGUUAUUUGGAACAUGAGGCUUUGCAUUGUGUUGUAAUACAGUGAUGUUCUCUGGUAAUUGAGGUGUGCAAGAAUGUUUGAUUUUUCAUUAGAUGAGUUAAGACU
rnacentral:lncRNA from 1 species